CAGAGAUAGAAAUGACAACAGAAGGAGUAUUCAAAUCAACACAGCAGGAUGGUCAGAGCGGCGGCCAUUUUUAUGUGUACCUUUGCCAUCGUAAAGAACCGUGACCGUUGUGGUGGGCUACUACCGCACAAAUAGUAUAAAUAAAUCAUGAAAAGGUGUGUUUUGUGCACUAUAGAGAGGGGACGUCACUCCCCUUCUGGUGGAUCACCAUUUUUAGUUCCGAAAAAAUAUGUACGCUAGGGAAUAGCAAGAGACAAAUUCUUUUUUGAUCCCGUUUGGAUUGUGCCAUGAACUACACAUAAAACGUUUGUC